rnacentral:rRNA from 1 species
AUUGAACGCUGGCGGCAGGCUUAACACAUGCAAGUCGAGCGGGGAGAGGUAGCUUGCUACCUGACCUAGCGGCGGACGGGUGAGUAAUGCUUAGGAAUCUGCCUAUUAGUGGGGGACAACAUUCCGAAAGGAAUGCUAAUACCGCAUACGCCCUACGGGGGAAAGCAGGGGAUCUUCGGACCUUGCGCUAAUAGAUGAGCCUAAGUCAGAUUAGCUAGUUGGUGGGGUAAAGGCCUACCAAGGCGACGAUCUGUAGCGGGUCUGAGAGGAUGAUCCGCCACACUGGGACUGAGACACGGCCCAGACUCCUACGGGAGGCAGCAGUGGGGAAUAUUGGACAAUGGGCGAAAGCCUGAUCCAGCCAUGCCGCGUGUGUGAAGAAGGCCUUUUGGUUGUAAAGCACUUUAAGCGAGGAGGAGGCUACUUAGAUUAAUACUCUAGGAUAGUGGACGUUACUCGCAGAAUAAGCACCGGCUAACUCUGUGCCAGCAGCCGCGGUAAUACAGAGGGUGCGAGCGUUAAUCGGAUUUACUGGGCGUAAAGCGUGCGUAGGCGGCCUUUUAAGUCGGAUGUGAAAUCCCUGAGCUUAACUUAGGAAUUGCAUUCGAUACUGGGAAGCUAGAGUAUGGGAGAGGAUGGUAGAAUUCCAGGUGUAGCGGUGAAAUGCGUAGAGAUCUGGAGGAAUACCGAUGGCGAAGGCAGCCAUCUGGCCUAAUACUGACGCUGAGGUACGAAAGCAUGGGGAGCAAACAGGAUUAGAUACCCUGGUAGUCCAUGCCGUAAACGAUGUCUACUAGCCGUUGGGGCCUUUGAGGCUUUAGUGGCGCAGCUAACGCGAUAAGUAGACCGCCUGGGGAGUACGGUCGCAAGACUAAAACUCAAAUGAAUUGACGGGGGCCCGCACAAGCGGUGGAGCAUGUGGUUUAAUUCGAUGCAACGCGAAGAACCUUACCUGGUCUUGACAUAGUAAGAACUUUCCAGAGAUGGAUUGGUGCCUUCGGGAACUUACAUACAGGUGCUGCAUGGCUGUCGUCAGCUCGUGUCGUGAGAUGUUGGGUUAAGUCCCGCAACGAGCGCAACCCUUUUCCUUAUUUGCCAGCGGGUUAAGCCGGGAACUUUAAGGAUACUGCCAGUGACAAACUGGAGGAAGGCGGGGACGACGUCAAGUCAUCAUGGCCCUUACGACCAGGGCUACACACGUGCUACAAUGGUCGGUACAAAGGGUUGCUACCUAGCGAUAGGAUGCUAAUCUCAAAAAGCCGAUCGUAGUCCGGAUUGGAGUCUGCAACUCGACUCCAUGAAGUCGGAAUCGCUAGUAAUCGCGGAUCAGAAUGCCGCGGUGAAUACGUUCCCGGGCCU